rnacentral:rRNA from 1 species
GACGAACGCUGGCGGCGUGCUUAACACAUGCAAGUCGAACGGAAAGGCCCUGCUUUUGUGGGGUUCCCGCGUCGCGAAGGGGUGAGAAACACGUGAGUAACCUGCCCUGGACUUUGGGAUAACUUCAGGAAACUGGGGCUAAUACAGAAUAGGAGCUGCUGCUGCAGGGGGGGGGUUGGAAAGUUCCGGCGUAUAGGUAUGGACUCAGGGCUGAUCAGCUAGUUGGUGGGGUGAUGGCUUACCAAGCCGUCGACCGGUAGCCGGACAGUGAGGAUGAUCAGCCACCCUGGAACUGGGCCAGGGUCCAGACUCCUACGGGAGGCAGCAGUGUGCAAUAUUGGACAAUGGGGGAAAGCCUGACCCAGCCAUGCCGCGUGUGUGAAGAAGGUCUCCGGAUUGUAAAGCCGUUUUAGUGGUGAGGAAGGGCUUUAAGCUAAUACCUUGCUGUUUUGACGUUAACAAGAGAAUAAGCACCGGCUAACUUCGUG